rnacentral:rRNA from 1 species
AUACGGAGGGUGCAAGCGUUAAUCGGAAUUACUGGGCGUAAAGCGUACGUAGGCGGUUCGUGAAGUUAGAUGUGAAAGCCCCGGGCUUAACCUGGGAACUGCAUUUAAAACUGGCGAACUAGAGUUGAGUAGAGGGGAGUGGAAUUUCAGGUGUAGCGGUGAAAUGCGUAGAGAUCUGAAGGAACACCAGUGGCGAAGGCGGCUCCCUGGACUCAAACUGACGCUGAGGUACGAAAGCGUGGGUAGCAAACGGGAUUAGAAACCCCAGUAGUCC